GUUCCGUUUUGAGUGCUACGCUAAGGUCCGUCUGUUUUGCAAUUUAUUUUGCAUUUCUGUUUUUGCGGCUCUUUCUUCUUUCUUUUUGUGACUGUGUGGAACCCAGUUCAGCUACUGAUUGAUUGUGUGACUGCAGUACAUUGUGUAUUGCUUUCAUUUUAUGGAUCAAUGGUCUCAUUAGAUAGUAAAACUCAUGUUAAAUUGCUGUUUUAGGGGUUGUUUUUAAAAGUCUGGAACGGAUUAAUCCAUUUUGCAUUACUUUCUAUAGGAAAGCGCACCUUGGUUUUGGAACGGACUUCCGGGACAGAUUAAGUUUGAGAACCAAUGUACCACGGUACUAUGAAGCAUGGUCCAAUGUAGUUAAAGAAAUGAGUGAUGAGGUUCGGCUGUUCUUAUUGGAGUUCCUGGGGCCAUCCCAGGGGGAGACAAAUAGGGUCACCCACCUUAGGCCCUGUGCUUUAGGGUGUUUGUGCGCUGAGGGUCGGAGCCAGCAGCCCCACUGUCUGGCCAGCCCUGCUGCCUCCUGUCCAGCCAAGGAGGCUCUCCAUCUCCUGUUUCCCUACAGGGAGGCAGGGAAGGAGGAACUGCAGGGUGUCACUGGUACUGCCAACCCCAAAUCAAAAGCAAAAACCCACCAGGCAGGAUAGAGGAGGCAGGGCAGCCGUAAAGGAAUGAGUGUAUUUUAAUAUUUCUGUUGGAAGCCGCCCAGAGUGGCUGGGGAAACCCAGCCAGAUGGGCGGGGUAUAAAUAAUAAAUAUUAUUAUUAUAACAGAAAGUGAGCCCAGGUUAGUGGUGUUGAGGAAGUGGUUGCCACUACCAUUGCCAUGAAGAGAAGGAAUGGCAGAGGCAACAAUGUGAUUUGCUAUGAACAUCUUACCUGCCAAGGCUGACCCAGGGCACAAGUCUAUACAGAAUACAGGAGGUGCUCUAUGUAUGAAUAUGGUGAUGACUUUGCCUGUAUAGGCUUUUGUUAAUCCAUUGAGAUGAAAGCAAAUGGACCUCUCAUCUUCUGGGAAGCCGCAUAAACCACUACAUCAUCCCUGCAAGCUCCAGUCUAUCGUCUUGCAUUCAGAGGGGCUCCAAUGUGUAAAUGGAAAUUUCAGCAAUCAGAACCUGUGGCUGGUAUUUUUAAAGAAGGAAUAAGAAGAGGCGCAGAGAUCUGCUGGAUAGGAUGACUACUUGUGCAUUGCCAAAAUUAAACUCGUGAAAGAAAGAAGGGGAAAGAGGAUGCAGAUCUGCAUAUGCUAAUUCACAUGGAAUAAUAAU